rnacentral:rRNA from 1 species
GUGGUGUAAAGGAUGUUCCGCCUAUUAAUUUACUUUUAUUAUGUUGGUGUAUAUCUGGUUUAAUAUUAUUGUUGAAUAAUAUAAGUUUGUGUAAUUUUAUUAGUUAAGCCAAGUCUAUGUGCUGCUUAUAGAAGUAUUCAUGCGUUACUUUAAUAAAGUUUUAGUUGUAAGUACUAUCAUAUUCAGGACUUAAAAGUAAUGUUAAAUUAGUUUGUUAAUGUGAAAUAAGUUUAGCUCAUGUACACACC